UUGUUUUGGCAGAUUAGUGCAUUAAAUUUAGAAUUUAAUUAAGUAUUUAUAUUAGUACAGGCAAUA
rnacentral:tRNA from 1 species